rnacentral:rRNA from 1 species
UGGGGAAUAUUGGACAAUGGGCGAAAGCCUGAUCCAGCAAUGCCGCGUGAGUGAUGAAGGCCUUAGGGUUGUAAAGCUCUUUUACCCGGGAAGAUAAUGACUGUACCGGGAGAAUAAGCCCCGGCUAACUCCGUGCCAGCAGCCGCGGUAAUACGGAGGGGGCUAGCGUUGUUCGGAAUUACUGGGCGUAAAGCGCACGUAGGCGGCUUUGUAAGUCAGAGGUGAAAGCCUGGAGCUCAACUCCAGAACUGCCUUUGAGACUGCAUCGCUUGAAUCCAGGAGAGGUGAGUGGAAUUCCGAGUGUAGAGGUGAAAUUCGUAGAUAUUCGGAAGAACACCAGUGGCGAAGGCGGCUCACUGGACUGGUAUUGACGCUGAGGUGCGAAAGCGUGGGGAGCAAACA